rnacentral:rRNA from 1 species
AGUGAACGCUGGCGGUAGGCCUAACACAUGCAAGUCGAACGGCAGCACAGUAAGAGCUUGCUCUUACGGGUGGCGAGUGGCGGACGGGUGAUGAAUACAUCGGAAUCUACUUUUUCGUGGGGGAUAACGUAGGGAAACUUACGCUAAUACCGCAUACGACCUACGGGUGAAAGCAGUGGAUCUUCGGACCUUGCGCGAUUGAAUGAGCCGAUGUCGGAUUAGCUAGUUGGCGGGGUAAAGGCCCACCAAGGCGACGAUCCGUAGCUGGUCUGAGAGGAUGAUCAGCCACACUGGAACUGAGACACGGUCCAGACUCCUACGGGAGGCAGCAGUGGGGAAUAUUGGACAAUGGGCGCAAGCCUGAUCCAGCCAUACCGCGUGGGUGAAGAAGGCCUUCGGGUUGUAAAGCCCUUUUGUUGGGAAAGAAAAGCAGCAGGUUAAUAACCCGCUGUUCUGACGGUACCCAAAGAAUAAGCACCGGCUAACUUCGUG